UAAGUGUUAAUUAAACUUACCAGGGUAUUAAUAGUUAAGGUCUUUAAACCCAAAGAAUUUGGCGGUAUCUUAUACCAUUCAGAGGAACCUAUCCCGUAAUUGACAGUACACGAUUAACUUUACUUAAUUUAUUUGUUUGUAUAUCUCCGUUAUCAGAAGAUCUUUUUAGAGUUAUAAUUUUCUUGAUUUAUAAUUAUAAAGUAUUUCAGGUCAAGGUGCAGCUUAUAUUUAAGAGGAGAUGGGUUACAAUAGGUUUUUGUUUAUAACGGAUUUGAUAGUGAAACACUAUUAAUGAAGGUGGAUUUGAUAGUAAUUUGACAUAUUUAGUUUAAUUGAUAUUGGCUCUGAGGU
rnacentral:rRNA from 1 species